rnacentral:rRNA from 1 species
AGACGGUCUUGCUGUCACUUAUAGAUGGAUCCGCGCUGCAUUAGCUAGUUGGUAAGGUAACGGCUUACCAAGGCAACGAUGCAUAGCCGACCUGAGAGGGUGAUCGGCCACACUGGAACUGAGACACGGUCCAGACUCCUACGGGAGGCAGCAGUAGGGAAUCUUCCGCAAUGGGCGAAAGCCUGACGGAGCAACGCCGCGUGAGUGAUGAAGGUCUUCGGAUCGUAAAACUCUGUUAUUAGGGAAGAACAUAUGUGUAAGUAACUGUGCACAUCUUGACGGUACCUAAUCAGAAAGCCACGGCUAACUACGUGCCAGCAGCCGCGGUAAUACGUAGGUGGCAAGCGUUAUCCGGAAUUAUUGGGCGUAAAGCGCGCGUAGGCGGUUUUUUAAGUCUGAUGUGAAAGUCCACGGCUCAACCGU